rnacentral:rRNA from 1 species
UACGGGGGGGGCAAGCGUUGUUCGGAAUUACUGGGCGUAAAGAGCUCGUAGGUGGUUUGUCGCGUUGUUCGUGAAAACUCACAACUCAAUUGUGGGCGUGCGGGCGAUACGGGCAGACGUGAGUACUGCAGGGGAGACUGGAAUUCCUGGUGUAGCGGUGGAAUGCGCAGAUAUCAGGAGGAACACCGGUGGCGAAGGCGGGGUCUCUGGGCAGUAACUGACGCUGAGGAGCGAAAGCGUGGGGAGCGAACCAGG